rnacentral:rRNA from 1 species
AUUGAACGCUGGCGGCAUGCCUUACACAUGCAAGUCGAACGGCAGCACGGGAGCAAUCCUGGUGGCGAGUGGCGAACGGGUGAGUAAUAUAUCGGAACGUGCCCAGUCGUGGGGGAUAACGUAGCGAAAGCUACGCUAAUACCGCAUACGAUCUAUGGAUGAAAGCGGGGGAUCGCAAGACCUCGCGCGAUUGGAGCGGCCGAUAUCAGAUUAGGUAGUUGGUGAGGUAAAGGCUCACCAAGCCGACGAUCUGUAGCUGGUCUGAGAGGACGACCAGCCACACUGGGACUGAGACACGGCCCAGACUCCUACGGGAGGCAGCAGUGGGGAAUUUUGGACAAUGGGCGCAAGCCUGAUCCAGCAAUGCCGCGUGCAGGAUG